ensembl:ncRNA C16B8.12 ncRNA
AGAUAGAUUGAAAAUAGUGAGGGGAGAGUUUGAAUUAUGAUUAGGAGUCGAGCAACAAGUGCCACUACUGAGCAAUUGGGAGGAGGUCAGUGGGAGGAUGAGCCCGAAAAAAAAGGAAAAAACGAGAUAUUGAGUGAUAAGAAA